GCGCCGGUAGCUCAGUAGGCAGAGCAGUGGGACGGUACCCCACGCUCACGGGUUGCAGUCCCGGCCGACGAU